GACGAACGCUGGCGGCGUGCUUAACACAUGCAAGUCGAACGGAAAGGCCCUGCUUUUGUGGGGUGCUCGAGUGGCGAACGCGUGAGUAACACGUGAGUAACCUGCCCUUGACUUUGGGUUAACUUCAGGAAACUGGGGCUAAUACCGGAUAGGAGCUCCUGCUGCAUGGUGGGGGUUGGAAAGUUUCGGCGGUUGGGGAUGGACUCGCGGCUUAUCAGCUUGUUGGUGGGGUAGUGGCUUACCAAGGCUUUGACGGGUAGCCGGCCUGAGAGGGUGGCAGGCAACAUUGGGAUUGAGAUAAGGCGCAGACUCCGCAGGGAGGCAGUAGUGUGGAAUAUUACACAAUGGGCGGAAGCCAGAUGCAGCGACGCCGCGUGCGGGAUGACGACCUGCGGGUUGUAAACCGCUUUCGCCUGUGACGAAGCGUGAUUGACGGUAAUGGGUAAAGAAGCACCGGCUAACUACGUG
rnacentral:rRNA from 1 species